CAUCGCCUCUUGUCCAACAUAGUAUAAGAGGUACCGCCUGCCCUGUGACCAUGUGUUUAACGGCCGCGGUAUUUUGACCGUGCAAAGGUAGCGCAAUCACUUGUCUUUUAAAUGAAGACCUGUAUGAAUGGCACGACGAGGGCUUAACUGUCUCCUUUCUCCGGUCAAUGAAAUUGAUCCCCCCGUGCAGAAGCGGGGAUAGACCCAUAAGACGAGAAGACCCUAUGGAGCUUUAGACGCAAGAACAGACCAUGUUAAACACCCCUACAUAACGGACAAAACUGAUUGGACCCUGCUCUAAUGUCUUUGGUUGGGGCGACCGCGGGGAAACAAAAAACCCCCAUGUGGACUAAGARCACAAUACUCUUAAAACCAAGAGCCACAGCUCUAAGUAAUAGAAAUUCUAACCUCUAAGAUCCGGCUCCCGCCGAUCAACGAACCGAGUUACCCUAGGGAUAACAGCGCAAUCCCCUUCUAGAGCCCAUAUCGACAAGGGGGUUUACGACCUCGAUGUUGGAUCAGGACAUCCUAAUGGUGCAGCCGCUAUUAAGGGUUCGUUUGUUCAACGAUUAAAGUCCUACGUGAUCUGAGUUCAGACCGGA
rnacentral:rRNA from 1 species